UACACUUCCCAAGAGGAGAUUGAAAGUCAGCUUUGGGAAACAGAAUGAGAACGGGGCUCAGAUCACAGUGAGGCCACCAGCCCCGUGCACGGGCCAUUUCUCUCUAUGCAGUCCUCACCUAUAUGCAGCCUGUUUCAAAUGUUUCCAGCUUUCCCUGAUCUUUAAGUCUUUUAGGUUGUAGGAGAUUCACUCCUUUGCUGAUAAUUGAGAGACAAGAAGAGCCACAGCUGAGAUGGAAGCCUGCUGUCCUUGAACAUGUAUGAAGAUUAUCCUUUCCCUCACUGCCCCGCUGACUUCUGCUGCACCCAGGCUCCAAGGAAACAGUGAUGGAUAUGCAGUCUCAGUCUCAACUCUUCCCCCUUUUGUGUUGAAAGAGCAGCCUCACCACCAACUACACACCCCUACACAGCCUAUGCCGCCGCACCCCAUGCUGCUCAGCUAAGAUGGACCGGAUCCUGGAACAAGAGAAGAGGGAGGAUUCCUAGUCCCUGGUGACACCUGGGAGCCAUGCACCGACUCUGGCUGUUCGCCUCCUGACUUUGGGUUCACUCUCAGAAGGUAGUAAGGGCUUGUGGUGAAUACUUAAGUUGCUCGUGCGUGUUGCGGCGAGAACCGACAGCACUGUGCUCACUGUGGGAACCUGCUGUUACUGUGAGACUGGAAUACCUCACCUUGGCAUCUGGCACUCUGACAUGGGGUUAUUUUGAACUGGUGACAAUUGAAACGACCUAACAAGGGAGCAAUCUCUGCUCCUCUCUGUCGUGGUCAAACUCUAGUGGCUAGACUAAAGUCAGCAUUCCUUAGGAAUUUGUGGCACUGGUUCCCCUCUACCAUAGGAGCCAUCUUCUUACUACUGGCAGAGGGGACAAAAGGCUGUCCGUGGUGCCUACUAACAUACCAAAGUGCAUGUUGGUCUCUAGGCUUCCUUGGAAUCACAAGUGCCUGUUACACAUUUCAGAGUCCAUCCUGGCAUCCUGGCUCCACACAGCAGCCCCUCCCACUCUCAACUUCUUCAGCCCAGAAGCUUCUCUCCCCACAGCGUCUCCUUCUUAUGACCCUGCUGUUUUGGCUGGGUUCUAAUUUUUGUCUUCCUGCCUUUCCCCUCUCCCCUGGUCUUCUCUUUCUCUCCCCUCAUGGUCAAGUCCAGUCUACUGGCCAUGUUCAGUCUACUUUCUCUCUCUGCUCUGCACUCUUCCAGGUGCUCUGGCUGGUCUCUCCCUCAUAUCUACAAAUAAAACCUUCCAUUUAACCAUAACUUGGAACACUCAUACACUCCCCAUAGGCCUGAGCAAGCAGUAUAAAUUCCCCAUGUGAGGUCAUAACACCCCCUCCACUGCCUGACCCAGAAGGGAAAACCACAACCUACUACAGAAAUGAGA